rnacentral:rRNA from 1 species
GACGAACGCUGGCGGCGUGCUUAACACAUGCAAGUCGAACGGGAGUUCGUAAACAGUGACCUCGGUGGAAGAGCACCAAUGAGAGGGGCGAACGGGGGAGUAACGCGUGAGCAACCUGCCUAUGACAGGGGGAUAGCCUCGGGAAACCGGGAUAAAUUCUGCAUCACAUCGUAGAAACACAUGUUACAACGGUCAAAGGUUUAUCGGACAUAGAGGUGCUCGCGUCUGAUUAGCUGGAUGGAGUGAUAACAGCCCACCAAGGCGACGAUCAGUAGCCGGUCUGUGAGGCUGGGCCGCGACAUUGGAGCUGGGCCACAGUCCGGACUCCUACGGGAGGCGGCAGUGGGGAAUGUUGCACAAUGGGGUGAACCCUGAUGCAGCGACGACGCGUAAACGAAGUAAGUAUUCGUAUCGUAAAGUUCUGUCCUAUGGGAAGAUAAUGACAGUACCAAAGAAGAAAGCUCCGGCUAACUACGUG